rnacentral:rRNA from 1 species
UACGGGAGGCAGCAGUGGGGAAUUUUGGACAAUGGGGGCAMCCCUGAUCCACCCAUGCCGCGUGAGUGAUGAAGGCCUUAGGGUCGUAAAKCUCUUUCGCCUGUGAUGAUAAUGACAGUAGCAGGUAAAGAAACCCCGGCUAACUCCGUGCCAGCAGCCGCGGUAAUGCGGAGGGGGUUAGCGUUGUUCGGAAUUACUGGGCGUAAAGCGCGCGUAGGCGGAUUAGUCAGUUAGAGGUGAAAUCCCAGGGCUCAACCCUGGAACUGCCUUUAAUACUGCUAGUCUUGAGUUCGAGAGAGGUGAGUGGAAUUCCGCCCGUAGAGGUGAAAUUCGUAGAUAUUCGGAGGAACACCAGCGGCGAAGGCGGCUCGUUGCCUCCACACAGAAGAUGAGGCCCGCAAGUA